CUAGAGUUCUAAUCUAAAGAUGUCAAAUCUAGAUUAGCAUUAAGAUCACUUAAUCAAGCAAAAAAACAUAUUAUUCUAACUCUAAACACUCUAGAUCAUCACUUAAUCAUCCUAACCCAUGAAUCCAAAGAUGACUACUCACUCAUAUUAUCAUGGUAGACACUAAAUCAUUAGUUGAUCUAAGUCUAAACAUGAUUAAUGAUGAAAGCAAUCAAGUAAACACAAAAGAUAAUGACCAAGAUUAGAUCUUUCACCCCAAAAGUGGUUUUUGAUUAGAUAGAAAACAAGAUAAGUCCAAAUUUUGGUCUAAAAAAUAUUUAUAGAAGCCUAAAAAACGAGCUGGACCAAUCCAACAAACCUAGGUUGGCCCAUAAAAACUUAGGUCUUUUCGUCUGUAGUGACCUGAUAAAGUCGCUACAGGUGGUCCCUAUGCUCAUAGCGACUUGUCUUGCCCGCUAGGACACUUGGGUGCUUCAGAAGUCUUGAUCCCAUAGCGACCAUUUAAUGUCGCUAUGGGUGGCCGCUGUAGAAGGCGCUCCAAUAGCGACUCAUGAAGGCUGCUACGUAAUGCCGCUAUGGUACUUGGCCGUUUCAGGCUUCCGUCUCGUAGCGACUACACCAUGCCGCUACGCCUGGGCGCUGUGAUUCGCGCUUCAUAUAUAGCGACCACCUGAAGUCACUACGGUCUGGCCUCUAUGAUACUUAGCCCAAAAAUCUGUCUACGCCUCAUUUUGACUCCAAAGUUUUCC
rnacentral:lncRNA from 1 species